CCUAAGAUGGGUCGACCCGACCCAGAUCUGCAUUUAAAUGCACCCAAACGAUCCCUUCAUUUCAUUGGCCCCAAAUUGAGACAAGCAUUCUCUCUCUCUCUCUCUCUCUCUCUCUCUCUCUCUCUCUCUCUCUCUCUCUCCGAAUCCUCACGUCACAUAGCCAGAAUUGGUAAAGUCGAGGACCCACGGCGGUCCUCGCAUGGUAGAAAGAGAGGCAAGAAAGGUAAGAGCAUUAAUUGUUCUGCCAAUUCUCGCCUAAUUUCACCCUUGUUCAACCCCAAAUGCACUGAAAGUCUUUUCCUUUUCCCCUUUUGAUUUCUGCAAUGAAUUAAUGGGUUUUGUCCCUUAGCCGACUUGAAAACUCUAUUUCUAUUGGUUCGUAGCAAAUGUCAUGGAUUCAAGACGAAUCCUUGACAAAAUCGCUUCUCCCACAUCGGAUGGCAACCAAUUUUUAUGGGUUUUAAUCUCUUACAUAAAGGAUACCUUAUUUCACUUUGAAAAAUAGGUUUGAAUGAGCAUAAGUCUUGAAAUCCCUAAAAUUUUAGGCGUUUGAGCAAACAUUCGAUAAUCUAGGGUUAAGCUUUUUGCAAACCUUUAAGUUUUGAGUGUUUGAGUAGAAAAUUUUAAUUGUUUUUUCUUUGGGUUCUGUGGCUAAGAUCGUGUAGAAGGAGGCAAGGUUCUCAAUUCCAUUCUCGACGAAAGGCUGCUCGGAGAAAACGUAAAAUCCCUGUGAUUGAUCGAAGCAUAUGUGGAAAUAUGCGGUGCCUAUCUGGAAGACCUCCUCCCAUUUCAUUUCGGGACGGAGAUUGAGUCUUAGAAUGUAGUGGUAAUCUGAAAGCAUUAGUCACUCUUGUACUAGUCUAGACCAGGUCAUGGGAAGUUGGAUCGAGUCUGUAUUUGUUACAUCGUUGUAAUUAUAUUAAAUCCUGAGUUUAUUGCAUGUAUUAUGAAGCUUCCGCUGAAUUUCUAAGUAUCUAUUGAUUUAAAUGAAUCGCCUU